rnacentral:rRNA from 1 species
ACCGGAUUAACUUUUCAGGGGGAGAAGCUGAAUUUCGGUAAGAAUAGGGUCGGCUACUCCGUGCAGCAGCCGCGGUAUACGGAGGACCAAGCGUAUCCGGAUUAUUGGGUUAAAGGGUGCGUAGGCGGUUCUUAAGUCAGGGUGAAAGACGGUAGCUUAACUAUCGCAGUGCCUUGGAUACUGAAGAACUUGAAUACACUUGAGGUAGGCGGAAUGUGACAAGUAGCGGUGAAAUGCAUAGAUAUGUCACAGAACACCAAUUGCGAAGGCAGCUUACUAAAGUGUCAUUGACGCUGAGGCACGAAAGCGUGGGGAUCAAACAGGAUUAGAUACCCUGGUAGUCCACGCCCUAAACGAUGAAUACUCGAUGUUGGCGAUAUACGGUCAGCGUCUAAGCGAAAGCGUUAAGUAUUCCACCUGGGGAGUACGCCCGCAAGGGUGAAACUCAAAGGAAUUGACGGGGGCCCGCACAAGCGGAGGAGCAUGUGGUUUAAUUCGAUGAUACGCGAGGAACCUUACCCGGGCUUGAAAGUUAGUGAAUGAGACAGAGACGUCUCAGUCCUUCGGGACACGAAACUAGGUGCUGCAUGGCUGUCGUCAGCUCGUGCCGUGAGGUGUUGGGUUAAGUCCCGCAACGAGCGCAACCCCUGUGAAUAGUUGCCAGCACGUAAUGGUGGGGACUCUAUUCAGACUGCCUAUGCAAAUAGAGAGGAAGGAGGGGAGGACGUCAAGUCAUCAUGGCCCUUACGUCCGGGGCUACACACGUGCUACAAUGGAUGGUACAGCGGGCAGCUACCUGGCAACAGGAUGCCAAUCUCGUAAAGCCAUUCACAGUUCGGAUCGGGGUCUGCAACUCGACCCCGUGAAGUUGGAUUCGCUAGUAAUCGCGUAUCAGCAAUGACGCGGUGAAUACGUUCCCGGGCCUUGUACACACC